GUACCCAUGGCGUUUGUAACAACGUUGUCGCAAUAUAUAUCUCUGUUCAUCCUGGUAUCCUAUUAUUUAUAAACCAAUCACUACGCUUAAUAGUCAUUUGUUUGUCACACGUUUAUCUCAGAAACUAGUUAACAGAUCUUGAAAGUUUUCACACUGAUAUGAAGACACAUUACUCCUUAGUGCUAUGGCUAUUUUUUAUCCCGGGAAAAUUUAUCCGGAAAAACUAUUUCACGAGGAUAACAAUAUGCAAACGGUGUGUUCUAUAUUGAAAGUCAUUGUAGCUAACGUACGUAAAUUAUGAGACUUAUAAUUUAUGUAUCAGGAUGAGACUCGCUAUGCACGCAGUGUGAAUAAUGGAAUAUAUCCGAAAUGUUGAAGAAGCCAUUGUGAAAAAUUAAGCUUCUUUUGUGCCUGGCUGUAUUUACUUCACAGAAGAUAAAAAACGCAAUAAUAUUCAAGAAUCAAACAAAGACAAUUAGAAAGAUCGAGAGCUAGAAAUCAAUUAAAAACCGAGACAAGCACAAUAACUGUGAAGAUGGAAACUUGAAAAAGGCGACCUUUUAAUUUGGCCCCUGAAGUGAGAGACAGUGAAAUCAAAUUACGUUGCUAGGCAACGAAUCAUUGAAUGAAUUACGAGCAGUCAAUUAAAGAAACCCGGUGAAAUCAGUUUACCAAUUCAUCCUAUUACUCCUAAGCUGGUCGGAAUUCAUUGAAAAUAGUUUAAGCGUUGUUUCUCAGAUGUCGCUGUUAAUUCAAGUUCGUCUAUCGAAUAUAAGAGCGGAUAGAACUUGAGUAAUUGCCAGAAUAGAAAAUAAAGGUAAAGAAUAAUCUAUGUCACUUAUCAUCAAUAUAGGUAGGUAGAUUUUACAGAGCGAUCUUAAUAUAUUUCUAUUACUCAAGGUUUUUGAACUUUCCUAAAGAGAAGUCAUCACACUGGCUAAGCCGCGUGCAAAUGAUUAUCUGUAAAAAGCAUAGACUGAAUAAUGGAGUAAUUGAGGAAUAAACGAAAUAUUGAAAUCGGAUUUGACUGAAAAUCACCUUUAACUUUAAUCAGUUAAUACAAAAAUCUCGUUCCAUUCAAAAUAUCACCUAGGGUCCAACACAAAAUUGAAUAUCAAUUCAUAUCUGAAACUAAACCUAUAUAUUCCAAAUCAUGCAUCGCUGAAUUUACAACGCGACGAAGCGACGUCAUAAAAAAUGUUCUAUAUAUCGAGACUGCAUGGAUAGGGACUACAGUAUAUAAAAGAAAUAAAAACUAAUUUAUACCAUAUAAGUUUGGCAAACUUUAAAGUAAAAAUCACGAAUGUAAAUUAUUCUAUUUCGUGUGAAUACGAUAUAGUUAGAUCUUCACUUUAUAGAGAACUGUGUGUCUGCCAUUUUAGAAACUUGUUCGGCAUUUGCUAACUCAGGCUUGUAAAAAGUAAAUAUUCUCUUUUUACAAGUCCGUCUAAAUACAUUUCAGCUUUAUAUUUUUGCUGAAAUGCAUGUGCAAUGCAAGGGACAGAGUUUCUUAGCAGUAAGAAACUGGUGUGUUAUUGCCAAUUUAAAAAUAACAAGGCUUUUUAUUGUGAAGAACUAAGAAGGCAGAAAAUAAAAGAAAUUAUAUUUAUUUAAAAUUAUGGACAUUUCUGUAGUACAGCAAAUCAGUUUCCGUCAUUAUGUUAUUUUUAAGUGUACGGCACAAGGACCCCACUGACCUAAUGGUAAGUGGAAGGGGGGUCCGAUAGAAUUUCGCUUGACGAAAGACGAUUACCCCAUGACAGUCGACACAAUUAUGCCGGCCUGUGUUAACU